rnacentral:tRNA from 1 species
GGGGUAUUCGUCUAUCGGUUAGGAUACCAGGUUCUCAGCCUGGGGAGAGGGGUUCGACUCCCCUAUGCCCUACCA